rnacentral:rRNA from 1 species
AGUGAACGCUGGCGGUAGGCCUAACACAUGCAAGUCGAACGGCAGCACAGUAAGAGCUUGCUCUUACGGGUGGCGAGUGGCGGACGGGUGAGGAAUACAUCGGAAUCUACUUUUUCGUGGGGGAUAACGUAGGGAAACUUACGCUAAUACCGCAUACGACCUACGGGUGAAAGCAGGGGAUCUUCGGACCUUGCGCGAUUGAAUGAGCCGAUGUCGGAUUAGCUAGUUGGCGGGGUAAAGGCCCACCAAGGCGACGAUCCGUAGCUGGUCUGAGAGGAUGGUCAGCCACACUGGAACAGAGACACGGCCCAGACCCCUACGGGAGGCAGAAGGGGGGAAUUUUGGCAAAUGGGCGAAAGCUUGACCGAGCAAUACCGGGUGGGUAAAGAAGGCCUGGGGUUUUAAAAGCCUUUUUGUGGGAAAAAAAAAGAAGCAGUUUAAUACCCCGCUGUUCGGACGGUACCAAAAAAAAAAACCCCGGCUAAUUUCGUC